AUGUAUUGAAUGUUAAUGGUAUUAUGUUUGAUACUAAUAAUAUAGAUAAACUUUUAUAUUUUUCGGGUGAGGCAUUCCCUGAGGCAGCAAAGCAGAAAAAGAAUAUGGCAGCAAAAGGAAGAAAUAGGAAGGCGCAUGGCGAUAUUGGUAAUGUGGCUAUAGAUCGUGGGGUCGAAGGAAAAAAGUCACUUCGUCAGAAACAUAUAGUUGUUAAGGUAAAAGGAGAAAAUGUUGCUAAAGUAUCUGCAGUAAAGAAACCAGCUCAAACGAAAGCCAUAGUUAAGCCAAAUCUUGAGGAGAUUAUUGAAGUUAGUCAUGUCACUCGAGAAAAAAGUGAAGGAGAAGAUGCAAAGGAAGAAGGCUGAUAAAGACUUAUUCAAAUAGACAACAAGUCUUAAUACAACUCAGAAACAAGGUGUAGGCCAAGUUGGAAAGAAUCCGGAUAUGUACAGGAUAAGACGGACAGCUACAGGACAAGUCGGACAGACGUAGCAACCUAUGUUAUAAUACUGAUUUUGGUUAUGGACUUGUAAUGAUGAAUGACUAACAAACAAGCAUUUUGCAAGUAGUAGAUAUGAUA